UCACUUCUUCUACCUCUGGGGUAGAGGUUAAUGGUCACUGUGCAAGACUGCUUGGGACAAGAAACUGGUAGAAUCUAAUUACUGCCUCUUGUGAAUGCGCCCAGGAGUGUGCAAGUAAUCUCCAAGUCUGCAUGCUAAGUACCUUCUAGAAGCUCUUGUUAUUUUGAAGACCCUAAGGAAAUUAUAUCUUAAUUAAGCUGGCUUUGGAAAGCAUUACCCUGUACCCAGCUCCCUCACUGAACACACCAGCCUGCAUGGGAAUGUGCUGUUGUGCACUUGACAUCUUCUACAAGGGUCACACUCUUUCUUCUCACCAGAACAGACUACAGAACAGUGCACAAGCUGAGAUGGUAGCCCCAGACUUGUUUAGUGCAUGAGAGAAAAACAACAACAACAACAACAACUCUUGUUGUAAAUGGAGACAGAAAUUGGAACGUAUGACCAGAAAAAGGUGCUCACUGCUGGUUCGAACGAUGAGAUCCCUCCAUUGACCAACACCAUGAAUACAAGAAGACGCAGAUAUAAGGACAUAUUGUGAAUUUUCAAUACACCAGGAGUAAAGAGAAAAAUAUUGAGAUUCCAGAGAGAAAAGAGAGUCACGUAGAAAGAAUCAGAAAUCAGAAUGGGAUUGAACUUCUCAAAAGCAAUGGUGGAAGUCAUAAGAAAGUGGAAUGAUACCUUCAGGAUUCUGCAGGAAAUAAAAAAAAAUUAAUCUGGAACUUAAUCCAGUAUAAAGAUGAAAUAAAGGUGUUUUCAGACGGCGACAUCUCAAAGAUUGUACUUCUAGUCUUCUUCAGAGGAUAUGCCUCAGCACAAUGAGGGAGUAAACCAAGAAGGAGGAGGACAUGGAAGCCUGUGCCCCAGAUGAGAAGCUGGAAAAGUGGAAGGAAAAGAUGUUUCUUUCUUCCCUAUAGUUUCUGGUGACUGCAAAAAGAUAAUCAAAGGUUGGGACACCCCAUUUACCACAGAAACUGCAGAUGAGGUCUGGGACAACUGACCAAAAGCCAGCAGAAUGCAAGAAUUCUUAGGAUUCUCAGCAGCAUCCUUCAUGUGGGAAUGUGUGGAUUUGGAGAACCGAUUCUUGGAGACCGUGGGACAACAUUCCCAGGAGAAAAUCUAGAUGAGGAAACUCAAAGACAGAAGAAAGCUGGAAUGGCAACUGUGUUGGAAAACCAGCUAGUGGUCCCAGAGUGAUUACAUCUGACCCUUCCAUGAUGGGUUGUUUUCAAACCACUAAGAACACAUUUCCUCCUGGUGUGAACAUAGUGAUCGGGGUUCAAGGAAGCCAUGGAGCUGAAUGACCCAGGUUUGCAGUUGUUUUCUAAUUAUGAUUCCUGGACCUUCAACUCUCUCAUGGGGGAUGUGUGACCCCAAAUGAGGAUGUGGGAAUAUGCUCAGUCUAGGGAUGUUUACUGUUUGCUGUCUUAGAAGAGAGCAAAUGGAAGGCUCAGAGGAUAAGUCUCUGCCUGUCUCUCUGUCUCUCUCUCUUUCUCUCCCCAUCUCUCUUUCUCUCUUUGUGAAUUGAUGAAAUCCUUGUGAUAGCAACAGCGGAUUUCAUACAGUCAUAAGCUUCACAUAUAGAAUUGUGACACUCUGAGUGAGCGUCUCAUGCUACAGUGCCCCAUGCAAUGUUGUCUCACAGGCACAUGAAUUGUGUCCCAUCAUAGCUGAGUCACUCCCAAAGACAUUCAAAGCUGAAGGUGAAGCUGGAGUCAUUGUUCUCAGAAUCUUUUGGAAGCCUGAGUCCAUUAGUGUGUGGACAAAACAGGCUCCGACCGCCUGGUGCCAAUGGGCAUCAUUACCUCCCGUUCAGUCGAGUGAAACAAACUGGGUCUCCAAAUAGGCUGGGCUUUCUAAGCUAACAGCCCUCCUCUGUUUAUAUUUUCUCCUUAAGGAGGAUAUUUUUUAAAAGCCUAUUUCGCAGAAUCAAUUUUAGUGGGUCCUCUAAGAUGGGAGGUGAGCUGGAGGUAGUUCAGUUUGUUUUAACAAUAACUUCAGCUUAUUGAAGCGAGCAUUAGAGUAUCAUGUCCCCAUAAGGCAGUCAUUAGAGACAGGGGAAACUUGAGAAGCUUAUUGCUCUGAGAUGGCUAGUAAAAGGAAUUGAAGACACUUUUAUAGGACCUAAAGAUAGUGCCGAUAAAAUAAGGACCAAACCCAUUUGUAGAUGAUAGGAAAGAGGAAGAAAUCUUUGAGGAAAUAAAAGGUAUUAGCUCCACAGUAUACAAGAUAGAGAAAAAGCCGAUUUAUUUUUCUUGGCCACUCAGUUAACUAAUCUUUGUUGAGCACUUACUGUGUUCCCAAAUGUGGUGGGUUCUGAGGAUACAUCGAUGAACAAGACAUAAUCCGUGCUUGGAGGACCUCACACACAGAGGCCUGCCUACAAGGGAAUGGGAUGAGAAGAGAGCUACCUGGGGGUGUCACACCAAUGCAUGUAGGGGACCCAGGGAGGCUUCCUACUUGACCUGUCAGGGCAAGGCUGGGAUGUGGGUUGUUCCAGGUAAGUAGAACUAGAAGUGCAAAAGCUUCCAGGAGAGAGAAUACGGUAUCCUUGCCAACUUCCAAGCAGCUCUCUAUGGCUUCCAUUAGUUCAGAGGAGGAAUGUCAAGAGAUAGAGCAGGGAUACCGAGCACAGCAAGCCUCCCGUGAUUCCUGGCAAUGGAGCAGGGGAUGAUGUGUUUGAAUUUUCAUUUUAGAAAAAUGGUGUGGGCUGUAGUGUGGGAAAUGGAUCGGAGCUGGUAGAGACAGGAGUCAAGUUGGGAGCCUGGUAGAUCAAGGCAAAGCAACCUGAACUAAGGGACUGACAUGGGAUGGAGGGAGGAGAAGGGGCUGAAGAGGUGUUAAGGAGGUAGAAUCAGUGGGACUUGGGAAGGGGUCAAACUUCCUCAAAGAAGAGGAAAGAGAGAAGCUAAGGAGACUCCGAUUUACACUACUGGGUGCGAGGUGGUUCCAUUCACUGAUAUCAUGAACAAAGAUGAAAGGGGGUUUUAAAGGAGAAGACAGUGAAUUCAACUUUAGACAUCUCAUGUUUGCCUGUGGGAUAUCCCAUAGACACUAUGUGUCUGGAGCAAAGGACAGGGGACUGGCGGGACCUGAAGACUUGGGAGUCACCAUCCUACUGUUGGGAACAAAGUAAUGAGAUGGCUCCAGGUAAAAGAAGAAAAGAUCUAGAACAGAGCCCCGGGGAACCAGCUAAUAUCUAAGGGGUGAAAUGAGGAUGAGGUGCCUAUGAGUAAUGACUUUUUUCAGGCUAGUAGAAGACAGGGGAGAGACAAGGCAAUAAGUGGAAAAGGAGAAUAUAGGCUAGAAGGCAGCUCUUUAGAUAGUGAUAGAAAAGGCUUGAGGUGAUUGAAAUGCUGAUGAGAAUCAGUCAUUAGGGAGAGAUAAGAGGCUGAAGGGGUGAUAACGUGGGGGGGGUGCACUACCUAAAGAGAGAGGCUUGAUGAGUCCAGAGUGCAGAGGCAGGGUGUGCACAGGAGGACAGCCCUGGUGCCAACAAUCAACCACAAUGUCCAGCUACCUGUAACAGUAAGUGCUAAUGCCCCCACUUCUCAAAUCAACCAGGGGUCAUCACCUAUCUGAGACUAGAGAACCUGAAUAACAGUCAGAGCAUGACUCUCCAAAGAAUAAUGGUAUUUAUUUGGGACUUGCAGAGCACUGAAAUGGGAAUAUGUGUGUAUGGUAAACUAUUAGUGUAUUCAAGGAGGCUGAGGAAAGGGGAGGUUUUUCAAAGGCAAAAUGAAGAGGAUGACACAAAAUAUUUUGAAACAAUGAUUCUUUGCUAAUAGGAUUGAUAACAAAAAUAGCAGCAGUCCAGGGCUGGACAGGCAGUUUACAGAUGUCCUUGCAGAAGUAUUUUUUGUGUGUGUGCAAGCUUAUUGGUGUCCUUUGUGCAAGGUUGUGGUUCUAGCAGAGUCUAUUGUGCAUAGUUCUUAUUAUCAGCGUAGUUUCAUGAAAUCCUCUCUUUCAUAACCUUCUGGCUUUAUUUAUGUAUUGGUUAGAGCUUGACAAGAGUGUUUAUUUUUUUGUUGUUUAUUUUGACAACUUUCACAGACUCCACAGCUACCAACUGAUCUGGAUGAGCCUCAUAUGACCCUCAGCCUUUCCCCGGGUCCAGAGGCCCUGCCUAUGUUAUUCCUUCUGUUGAGCAGCAGAGAUGCACAAGAGCAAGGUCCACUACCCAAGCCCAUUUGCAGCCUCUUCUUGUGUCAUUUGUGCUCAUCUCCCACUGACCAACGUGUGUCAUGUGACCGAGCCCAGCAUCCAGUCACCCCACCCAUACUGCAGAGUUAAAUGGCAGUGAUCAUGAGUUCAGGGCAGAAUGAAGGAUUUCUUAACACAAAUAAAGAGAAAUACAGUUUUGACAUUUUGUCAAACACAAGAAGAAAAAGCAGUUUGCAAGUAUUCAAGAGAAAAAGACAAAUUGAAGGCCAGGCCAUUCCCUCCUCAGCUGUGCAGGCCAAGGUGCUGCUGUAUUAUUUAUGUCUGCAAAGGCUAACACUAGACUGUGGUUAAUGAGCAGAGCAGAGAAGAUGAGAACACUUCACGAGAGGGUCAGCAUUCCUUGUAAAACUUAACAACAGCCAGGUCAGCUUUAUCGCUCCGGUAGAACUAAGGAAAGCCCUCCACCACCUCCACAGAUCAGGGAAAACCUGCUCCUGAGCAAAAGAAAAAAUAUUCCCCACCUAAGCUUGUUGUUGAGAGAAGAGUAUUGAACUGUGAGUUUAAAUUAAAGUGUGCACGUGUGUAUGCACGUGCAUGUGCCUAGCACAUGCCCACAGCAGAGAAAAGAAUGUCUGCAAAAGUGAGGAUAAGACAGCCAUGGUUACAUCCAUACUGCACCUAGAAGGGCAAGAAAUGAGCUUGUAGAUCAUUGAAGUCAGGUGUCCAAGGACUACACCAAGGGUGGCCCAGGGGGCAGACAAGCAAUUGGGUGAUAAGGAGGGCUCUCCCCAGCUGCCUCAAACAGCCCAGAAUUUAUCACCUGCCCUUCUUCCUUCUCUAUUUUCAGGCAGAAUCAUUCUAUACGUACCUCCCUCUGCUUCAGAAGCUGAGCUGAAGCACAUCACUGUGAAUUUAUAAACACCUGGCCAAGGUGCCACAUGAGUGGUGCCCCCUCUCCUUUUGCUUUGGGGUAGGGUAGUGUUGUCUCUGAUAGAGGCAUUGAUAGAGUAAAGUAUCUAAUUUUAACUAAACUAUCAGAAAAUGGAUAUGUAGCUUCAAACAUUUCCCCUAAAAAAAAUAGUGCUUUCAGACAACAGGGAAUUGGCUGGGCUGACCAUCAGCAACCACAAGAAAGGGCCCUCAGUGGCUACACUGUGAGGCCACACAGUGGACAUCUGAUGGCUUCUGGUGAGGCAUCUGCAAAAGGGCAGAGGGUGGAAAUGAAGAUUAUUUAAAGUACAUAUUUACAUGCCCUCUCGUUAACUAUCACUGAUUUGCCCCACAUGCAUGUUGCGCCUGAAAUUAUGCCUUAUGGGAGUAACGAGGCGUGACCAGCAGGACACCCAAACCUUAAGCAUUCAGAACACAGAAGUGCAGAUCUACAAUUGCCUUAGCAAAAUUCUAGGUUGUGAUACCCAAUCCAAUAGGUAUUGUUUCUAGUGUUACCAAAUAACAACGAAAAAAUAAACCUUUAAAUGUUUCUUACUUAGAAGAAGCAAAAGCCCAUAGAUGUUCCUUUUUGUUUGUUUGUUGUGAUACUAGGGACUGAACUCAGCUCACACAUGAUGCCAGGCAAGCGCUCUACCACCAAACUGCACCCUCCAGAACUUUAUUAUUUUAUUUUUGAGACAGGGUCUUGCACAAGUUGGUUUCAAACUUGAGAUCUUCCUGCCUCGGCCUCCUAAAUAACUGGGAUUAAUGGCUAUGCCAUCCUGCCUGGCCCACACACUUUCCUCCUUUGUUCCUCCUUGUGUGGUAAAAAUGGCUGAAAUCAGAUGUGGAAGAAAAUAUGGCUGCAAAACCAAAUGGGUUCCUUUGUCAUUAAAUAAUAUUAAUGGAUACACAGAAAACAUUGUUGAAGGUUAGAAGAAAUGUAUAUGGACAAAAUAACAGUGGUGUAUUAGACUUUGAAGCAACAAGUGCAGAUGUUGACAAAGUUAAUGGCAUUGCUAGGAUCUGGUUCAAUAUUGAACUGUUGAAAGAACUGAUUUUCUGAGUCACUUAAGGAAAGAGGCAUAAAGAAGAUAUAUUCUCCACAGAAAAUGACUUUUUGAAAACCAAAUGUGCUAUCCCCCAGUGGAGCAGGAGGUUUGAUUGGAAAAAAAAGAAGAGAAAGAAUUCUGAAGUCAGACUACACAGUUGCCCCAUGUGUGAAAUUCAUUAACCUCGUUUUUUCCCUCACAAACUAUUGCAGCCAAGAAUCAGAAGCCAGAAUUUCACAGGGCAGUACUCUCAAACCUGAAGCUGUGUAUGAUGCACCCGGGGAUCUUGUUAAAAUACAGAUUCAGUAUGUCUGGCCCGUUCUGAGGGUCUGCAUUUCUAACAAGCUCCCAGGUGAUGGCAACACUGCUGGCCAAUGAACCACACUUUGAGUAGUGAAGGUAUAAACAAAUAUAGAAUGUUAGGGUGGGUUACUCAUCUUACAAAAAUAAGAUCAUCCAUGUUCCAGAAGAUGAUCUUUAGACUGUUCGUAUGGAACCUGCAAAUCACUUGUUCCACAGAAACGUUUGCUGCCUGCCUGUCUGUGGCAACCUCCUUAAGAGUUGUCAGAUGUGAAGUUGGGGUUGUGUGCUCACCUAGCAUGUGUGAGGCCUCAGGUUCCACCCUUAGCAAAACAUACACACACACAAAGAAUUGUUGCAUGUGAAGAUAUGCCACUGAUUUUGCUUUUACAUAAACCUAGUACUUUCCAAAUUCUGAUCAUUUAAAUAGAGACAAAUAGUUGUUAAUAGAAUUCUAUCUAUCAGGAAAUAAAUACAUAUAUAUAAUCUACUCCUUUAUGUGAAAGUGGCAAUUUAACAAUUAAUGAGAAAGUAACUGCUCUUCAGAAGAAUCUUGAGCCUUGGAGAGAGCCAUGUGAAAACAGACAUCUUCCUCAUAACUUUCUUGUUGAAAUUACACCAUACCACCCAUAAAAACUUCCAUGUCUUUAUACCAAGAAACAGAAACUGAAUUUUCUAACAUUUAAAAAUCAGAGUUUCAUAAUAUAUUUUGAGCACAUUUGUUAAAAACAAAAACAGCAAUUUAUAAGUAAAUCAGGUUGAUAUCUGAGAGUAUAGAAAAUAUUAGCUGAAUUUCCACAAAAGUGCUUGCAUAAUUAGUAAAUAAGAUUGAAUAAUCAAGAUGGUGGUACAUGCCUGUAAUCGCAGCAGCUCAGGAGGCUGAGGCAAAGGAUCACAAGUUCAAAGACAACCUCAGCAAUUUAGUGAGGCCCUAAGCAACUUAGUGAGACCCUGUCUCCCAAUAAUAAAAUUUUAAAGAAGGGCUGGGAUAUGGCUCAGUGUAGUUAAGCACCCCUGGAUUCAAUCCCUGGGGGAAAAAAGAUUAAAUAAUGUAAAAAAUUUAUUUAUUUAUUUUCAUUUUUAUUUUUUGCAGUACUUGGAUUGAACCCACAGGAUCUUGCGCUUGCUAAGCAAGUUCUGUACCACUCAGCUAUAUCUCCAGCCCAAAAACUAAAUUUAAAUUAAAAAAAAAAGUUUGAACAAUGAGUACCAGAUUUAGUAAAGGAGACUAACAGUGUGUCUUCCUAGUGGAUUUAUGAAAAUCUGUUCUUCCUCUCUGAUAGAAAUCAAAACUAAGAAAAUAAACCAAACUUAUAACUAGAUCAUACAAUGAUUAUAUCACAAAGUCCCACCAAGAUUUUAAGACAAAGAUGCAUAAUCAAUUGUAUUGCUCUCACUAGGAAUAUAAAUGUAUAAAAGAUUUUAAUGAGAAUAAAGUUUUUACCAUUAAUAAAUGAAAUCAUUACUAAAAAGCAUUAUUUAUAUCUUACCCAUUUUAAUUUAUAUUUUUGUGUAUAUCUUCAUGCAUAUAAAACAUCAGUACAGUGGAACACAAAUACUUUAGGGAAUGGCUUACUGUUUUAAACUAAUAUAUUGUGCAAUCCCCAAAUACUAGAAGGUUGACAUAAAUUAGCACAUUUAUGGACUAUAAACUAUAAAUGGCCAUUUUCUUUCAUUUAUUCAAUAUUCAUCACACACACAUAUGGUCUCAAUGGUUACUGAUUGAAUACAUGUCCUAAAAGACAUUUAACUGAAGGAUGGUUGGCUUUUGUAAACAAUAUACAAAAAAAUAUGAAUGCUCUAUACCCAUAGGAAUAAGAAAACAGUUAUCCUUUAGGUAGGAUUAAGCAUCUGUGUUGUGGCAUGCCCUGGCUCUGGACCAUUUAUCACAUCCCUGCAUGCCUGGUAAAGGAAUGCUAGAGAGGACACGGUCCCUAGGAUCCUGAGAUCUUUUUUUUUUUUUUAAUUUGUUCUAAUUAGUUAUACAUGACAGUAGAAUGCAUUUUGGCACAUCAUACAUAAUGGAGUAUAACUUUUUGUUCUUCUGGUUGUACGUGAUGUAGAGUUACACAGGUCAUGUAAUCAUAUAUGCACAUAAUGUCAUAAUGUCCAAUUCAUUCUACUAUCAUUCCUACCUCAUGCCCCCUCCCCUCCCUUCACUCCCCUCUGUUGAGUCCAAAAUGCCUCUAUUCCUCCUCCACCACUACCUCCCCCUCCCCCAGCUUAUUGUGAAUUAGCAUCUGUAUAUAAGAGAAAACAUUCAUCCUUUGGUUCUUUGGGAUUGGCUUAUUUAGCUUAGCAAAACAUCUCCAGAGGAUCCUGAGAUCUUAACAUCUGGAUCCCAGUAGCCAAACCACGAGGUCCAGCCUUUAGAACUGGCAUUCUCCAAGGAGCUGUGUAGAAAAGUUUAAAUGCCCAACCAGAAAGCUUUGCACAAUGUUGCUAGAUUUUUCUAUUUAAGUGCUCUAACUCUUUCUUUAGGAAAACAGUUUCUGAGGAACUCUUAUCAUGAAAACAGUUUUUCUAAAUUGCCUCUUGUCAAACCAUUGCUAUGGCCCCCGAUAAGAUAAAUCCUAUUGUACAUAAUGGGUGGUUUAAAGAACUCCCUAUGAGAAAACUGGAUGAAGGAAGAUAUUUGACUCUUAUUUAAGGAGAAAUAGAAAUUACUUUCUUUGUAUUAGAAAGAAUCUGGGGCAGAACCAGGCUUUCAGGAUAAAGGAGUGGGUAUUUUUUCCCCUCUUUCUUCCUAAUUUUGAUAUAAGGAGGAGAAGUAAAAAAGCUAGUGUUAAGAAAAACAAAUUGAAAUACUUGAGGAACUAAGUUAUCAGUAGGCUCUAAAUGAGAAUGGAACUAACAGCUAAGAGCAGUCACAAAGCUUUGCAAUACAGAUGUAGCCUGAGGUCCAGCUCCAGUCAGCCUCAAGGCAUGGACUCCAAGGUGGAAUUUGUGCCAAAUUAGAAAGAACAUUUUAAUCAUAAUAUGGUUAUGGGAGAAGAUUUAGAUUUAAUGAUGAGCAAUGAUAAUUAUACACAGAGAGAACAGAGUUUCUCUAAGAAAAGUGCUUAUUCUUUAAGAAUAAAUAGUUUUACUGUUCAUUGCUAUUUCAAGUCAGCAACUUUUAAAAUAUAUUACAUAGUUAAUAAUUAAUUGUAAAACUGUUAGCAUAAACUUGGGCAAACACAAUUUGAAUUCCAGGAAAACCUUUGCCUAAUAGAUUGUACAAAAUGAAUAAGGUACUUGCUGCCACUUGGUGGUAAUGUAUGCUAAUUGCAGGUAAAGAGCCCACAGAUAUUUAUUUAAAUUCUAACUGCAGAAGGAAAUUCAUUUUACUGCUCACUUUUGUCCUGUUUCCUAAGGAGAUAUAGGUUUUCCAAGCUAAAAAGGUGAAAACAUCAAGAUUAAUUGAUUGAACAAAUCAUUAUCCAGUGUCUACUUGGUGUCAGGCACUAUUCUAGGCACUGGGAGGAUAGAAGUGAACUAGAAAGUCCAUGGCCACGUUUUCAUGGUUUUACUUCCGAUGAGAAGACAGGCAAUAAAGGAAUUAAUAAUUCCUGGUAUCACUAAGGACCAUAUGAAAAUAAUACAGGGGAAGAUGGUAAAGAGUGACAGGAAGAAGUGACUGGGCAAGGUCUCUUUGAAAAACUGAAAUUUGAACCGUAAGAGAAAACAAUUCAGCUUUGCAAAGAUCCAAGAGAAGAGCAUUCAGAGUGAGAGAAUAGGAAAUAUGAAAGCCCUAAAAUUAGAACAAUUGUUUAUUUGUAAUGGCCUUGGUGAUAGAGUGCCUGUGGGGUCAAUCCCCAGUAGCAAAGAGAUUUAUUCAGGGAAACAGGCUAGUCCUGUUAUACAGUAUCAUUUUGAACUUUAUAUUUAAUAUUUGAAUUUAUAUUACAUUGACCUUAGUUUAAACUUUAUUGUAAGUGCAACAAGAAGUUGUGGAAAGACACUAUAUUUUGUAGCUCUUCCCCACACUAGGUGGAGACUGUUUUCCCAUCUCUGCAAUCCAGACUGGCAUCAUGAUUUGCUUUGAACUCAGAACAUGGUGGAAAUGAUAUGUUAAUUCCAAAGGCUUAGCAUCAAGAAUUCCUGUAGCUUUCUCUGUUACCUUAUCGGAAACUUACCUUAUUGGAACAUUUCUUCCACCACGUAAGAAAUCCCAGACUAGAACACUAAAUGGUAACUGACCAUAUGGAAGACAAGUCCUGACAAUAACCUGGUCAAGCAUCAAAGACCCAAAUGUGUAAAUAAGGGGAGUUUGGACUCAUUUGGACCUGUAUGGAGCAGCCACAGGCGUGAAUCCCAGUAAGACCAAGACAAGAACUGCCCAGCUGAACCCAAGCUAUAUUACUGAUCCACAGCAUUAUGAUAAGCAAUGAAUAGUUGUUUAAAGUCAUUAAGUUUUGAAGUGGACUGUUACAUAGAAAUAGAUAUCUAAAUAUCUGAAACACAAACCAUAGGAGAAUUUUAAUCCUGAGUGACAAGAUCUGAUUUAUAUUUUAAAAUAACACUUUGGCAGUCAUACUCAGAGAAACACUGUGAAUUUAAGAUAACAAGAAACACCAGGACUCCAACCAAAACAUUUGUUCAAAUGGGUUAUAGCGUCCAGGGGUGGAAUGGAAUGAUCUCAUUCUGAAAUGACCACUGUGGGGUUCACUCUAGGAGAAUACAAGGCCCAUGGCAAGUACUGUCUUGACAUUCAAGUUGAACAAAUAGAAUCUAACCCUUCUAGGUAGAGCAGUUUCCUAACACCCCAGAAUUCUUGCUUUCUAAAUGAAAUUCCCAAUGCUGGCCAAUGGCAUGUCUGUAGAGAUUGAUGAAGCCAUGAUGAGAGUAAACCCGAGUAGAGAUUUGGGCAAGAUCUCUUGUACCUGAAGAACAAGAUUCCAUAAUUUCUUAACCAGGCCAGGUGGUACAUGCCUAUAAUCCCAGUAACUAAGGAGGCUGAGGCAGGAGGAUUCUAAGUUCAAGGCCAGCCUUGGCAAUUUCGUGAGAACCUGUCUCACAAUUUAAAAAUAAUACAAGGGCUAAGGAUGUGGCCUUGGUGAUAGAGUACCUGUGGGGUCAAUCCCCAGUAGCAAAGAGAAAGAGAGAGAGAGAAAGGGAAGGAGUGUGUGUGGGGGGAUUAAGUCAUUUCUUUCUGGCUCUGAUCAUGAUGGAGCAAUGGAUAUCCAUCUUAGCCUCCUGCCAUCCUGCCAUACAAGUAUAAAAUUGAACAAAACAUUGCUGAGAGAAUUUUUUUAAACCUAUAUGAAGAAACAGAUACAUGCUAUUCAUAGUUUGAAAAACUCUAUAUCCUUAAAAAGUCAAUUUUCUUCGAAUCCAACUCAACAUUCAACAUUGUCAAAUCAACGUUCAAUGCAAUCCCAAUCAAAAUUCCACCAGGUAUUUUUUUUUUUUUUAGAAAUUCAUAAGCUCAUUUAAAAUGUAUAUGGAAAUGCAAGUGUCUAGAAUAAAGCAAUAAUCUUAUGGGAAAAAAAGAAAAAGACAAAAUUAUGGUUUGAAGUAUCCCCUAAAGGCUCAUGUCUUGAAGGCUUGGUCCCCAGUGCAGCAACAUUCAGGGGUGGGGAUUUUAGGUAAUGAUGAGAUCAUGAGGCCUUUAACCUCCCCCAUGGAUUAAUCCAUUGAUGGAUUCAUAAUGCGAAUGGACCAUCAAGAGAUAGUGGAAACUCUAGGAGGCGAGACCUAAUUGAAGGCAGUCAGUCUUGAGGGCAUGACUUAGGGACUAUAUUUUGUCCCAGGCACUUUCUCUCCUGACCUUCCCCCCUCUAUGUUUCCCAGCCACAAUAAGGUGAGUAGUUUUGCUCUACCUGCUCACCACAGGCCCAUAGCAACGGAAUCAGCUGACUUUGGACUGAAACCUCUAAAACUAUGAGCCAAAAUAAAUAUUUCUUCCCUUAAGUUGAUUUUCUCAGGUAUUUGUUAGUGACAGAAAGCUAGCACAGACAUGUUCCAUGUUAUAUAUGUAACAUUGGAGAAUUUUACAUGACCUGAAUUCAAAACAUAGUAAAAAGUUACAAUAAUCAGGUAGGCAUAGUGUUGACAUAAGGAUAAAUACAUAUAUCAAAGGAACACAACAAAGAGUCCAGAAAUAGACUCACACUUACACAUAGGCAAUUCGUCUUAAGCAAAGAUGUCAAAGCUAUUCAAUAGGAAAUAAAGUUUUCUAUAACAAAUGGUUCUGUAACAACCAGGUUUUUAAGGCACUGUUGGGAUAAAAUACUCACAAUAAAUAUAUUUGACAAAGCACUUUUAUCCACAAUACAUAAAGUACUCCUGAAGCUCAACAAUAGAAAGACAACUCAAGUUUAAAAAAAAAAAUUCAAAAGAUGUAAAUAGACACUUUUCAAAGGAAAAUAUCCAAAAAUAACAUGAAAAAGUGUUCAACAUCCUUAAUCAUUAAGGCCAUGCAAAUUAAAUCCCAAUGAAUGAGUCUCAAAAGCAUUAUGUUGAAGAAAAGAAGCCAAACAGAGAGAGUACAUAUAAAGUUCUGAAGUAGGCCCAGUGUCUAUUGUGUUCCAACAUCAGAGUAGCAUGGUUAUCCAGGGGAGCAGUGGAGUAACAGAUUAAUCAGGAAGGGUACAAGGGUGCUUUCUUGUUAAUGGUGAUCUUUCUCUAGCUCACUGGCGUAGAUUAUAUCACUGUAUUUAUUUGUCAAAACAUAUAUACCUCAAUAGAUCAAGCUUUCAGAAGAAAACAAGAAUUAGCAAUUCUAUUUCAGGAUCAAAGAGGGCUAACUCGAUAUCAUUGAUGCCCAGUAUGGCAUUGGGGCAGCCCUAGACUGAGAUUUAGAAGAACAGAACUCUAAGAUUGCGCUCUUUCAUUCCUAGGUGGGUGAUUUGGGGCAAGCUAGGUCAAAUCAAAUUCUCAUAAAAUGGGGAAUGCCUAUCACAGAACUAAGAUGGAGAUUAAAUAAGAGGAUGUGUGUUGAGAGUCCUUAAAAAGAUCUUCUUAGAAUACUGUUUUUUAUUUCCAGGGGGUUUUACCUGACCUUAUACAAACUCAGGAACCAGAGUUACCAGCCCUGGGCUGCCUACCCCAUGCUAACAUAGACAGUGUUCUUCAUUUAGUCCGGGCCGGGCUGUUAAGUGUUUUCUCACUCCGGCCCUUUGAAAUAAGUGUUAUGAUCAUCCCCAUUUUACAACUGAGGAUAGUGCAGCUUAGCCAGGUGAAUUAACUUCCCAAGGUCACCCAUGCAAGCAGUGACAAUGGUUUGAACCCAUCCAGCUGUUGUACUCACCCACAACCCUGAAUCCCCGUGGAGCAAUCAUGAGCAAAGAAGCAGGGUGGCAGAGAAACUAACCAGGCGAGGUAGGUCUGAGGAUGUUUCUUAGGGGCAUGUGCUUGCCUUCCAUGCAGAAGGCCCUCGGUCCCAUCCCCGGCACCAGAAAAAAAGAAAAAGAAAAAAAGGAGAGAGACACAGACCUCAGGUGCUAGAUUUAAAGGAGCUUACAGGAGCAUUACAAUUGUUCUGUGGUUGGCUCCACCAGGUAUGGCAACUGUAGGGUCAAAGUGAGGUUCUUCCUGGAAGAUGAUGAAGAAUGAGGAGCUGGAAGAGAGACUUAGAGGUGCAGAGAGGAGAAAACUGCCUACAGAAGGUCCUUCUCAUGCUCUGGAGAAACUCUAGGAGGAAAGCUGUGGCAGCCCUGGCUGGUCAAGGCUGUCCCCUUGGCCGAGUCAGGUCUCUUCCAGCAAGGGAGCUGCCUUGGGAAAAGCCCUGGAGGUCCUCUGUACCCAGCUUGUUUGUGAGCCUGAUGACACAGCUAAAGCCUGCCCAGGUCACAGAUCCAGCUGAAACCUGAUAGUGCCUUGGAGGUUUCUGGGGAACUCAGGCACUGAGAGGUGUUGAGUUGGGAUUUUAGAGUUCACCAAGGAAUAAAUGUUUACAUCUAUCCACUUGUAAAACUUACACGAGUUCCACUUAGGGCAGCCUCAGUCAGAACUGAGUGGUGAGGAAGGGAUCCUGGACUAGCCACUUAAGCUUUUGGAGCCUGGGGGAUUAAGCAAUGUUAUUGCCCCCUUGAUACCUUGAAUUAUCUUAUGUCUUAAUUGCCAGUAACAAGCUGCACUUAGCUUGUGCUGGAACAUUUAUCUUUUCGCUAGUUGAAAUUCCAAAGUCUGUAGAAUUCUGUAUACUAAUGAGCUGACCUGACAGUGCUAGAUAUUAGAGAAGAACCGACAAACCGAGAUAUCUGAUAAAACCCAGAUUCUUCUGUGUUCAUUUGAAGGAGGUCAUGAGAUGCCAAGAGCUCAUCAGGGGACCUCCCUGGAAAACAUCUUUGAAAAUAGAAUUAGGGUCUCCUGGCAGCUUACUCACCCCAUUCCUCCUGAUAAAGCUCCCCUUCCCCAUCAUACAAUAUGAGGUCUGUCUGGAGGGAAAUUAACUACUUAUAAACCCAGAAAGUAGGGGCUUCCCCUCUUAUUCUGCAAACCUGUUCAUACGAUAUCUUCCCUGGAGCUAUGUAGAGUGUUUUGCUCCCUUGAUAUGGCAGGUUCCACAUCCUUUAUAACCCCUCCUAGCAGUCUGCAAGAUUAUGGGGCUUGGAUCUCAUUUUAAGAUACCCCAACAAUGCAAAAUAUCACAAUUGCUGAAAAUUGCUUGUUUCAUUAGCAAUUAACAGCAGGCCCCAACCCAACCCAGAAGCAUCUCUGACCUGGCCCCUGAAUUACAUUCUGUGCUUAUGCUGGACUAUGUCCUCUGUGUUUCUUCUACCCACCCCACCCACCUCCCCUACCCAUUUCCAGCCAUGUCUUUCAGGGAUACCUUAAUGGCCUUCUCUUCUCCACCCAUGUGGAAAAUGUCCAGAGCAAGCUCCAUGCCCAGGCCUGACCUUGGGGCCUCUGGGCUUGACACUAAUGUCUUUCUCCUUCCUCUCUCUAAGCAGAUUUGUUGUCUCUGGACCUGAUUCCACACGAGUAGUUUCCAGCCUCCCUCUGGCAGCUGGUUUAUAUUUAGGUCUGGCUGCAAAGGAGCAGACAGUCCAUGCAGAUCUGCCUCCCCUGCUCCAGGGUGGACCCACUUUGUCUUCCUGACACUCCCUCUAGGACAGAGGCGGGUGGCUGUGUGAGAACUGCCAGAGGCAAGUGUUGUCUCAAAGGCCAGGAAGCAGGAGAAUCCUGCAAGAGGUAAGGGUAGUGAAGAAAAGGGUAGAGAGUUUAGAAAAAUGUAAAGAAGUAUUAGAGACUCAUAAACACAAACUGCCCCCCCCCCAAAAAAAAGCGGGGGAUUCCUGCAUCUUUGGAAGUUGGUGGUUGUGAUACAGACUUAAUAAAUCAAAUCAUUUAAACUUGGUUGAAUAUCCAACAUGUAUCUAGCACAGACCCUGUCUCUAAGAGUUUAUGUGCAAUAGAGGAAAUGCAUUUACAUAAAAAUUAUGAUGCAGGAAAGAAUAGAUUUGUGUCAACUGCUCCAGGAGCUCUGAGUCAACUUGAAGGAAUAGAGAGGUUUGAAGUGACAUUAGAACUGGGUUUGCAAGAAUUGUAUCAAGUUUAGGAGUAAAAAAAAUGUUUAGGCAUGAACAAAACAUGGAGCCCCCAACCCGGGGACAAGCAGUUUGCUGAGACUUGAUGCCCAUCAGAUUAGAUGAAAGACUGGAAAGAGGGAGGGAGGGAGGAGCCAGGAAUUCAAGUGUGAAAAGCUGCAAGCACUAUUAAAGGACUCAGACCUUGUCUUGGAGGAAAUGGGAUGGAGCAAGUUUGUAAGGAAAGGAAUGGUAAUGAAGGCAUGUGUUUUGGAAAGAUAAGUCUUCAAUACUGGGGCUUAGAGAUCUAGAUAAAUUCAAGGCAGAGAACAACCUAAAAUAAUGUAGCCUUUCACAAAGGAAAUUUCCUAUCCUAUACCAAGACAAGGACAGGGAAUCUGGAUGGGAGGGAAUCAGUUCUUGAGGUUCCAUCAAGGAACUCGAACUGACAGGCUUUAUUGCCUUUCUAGGUGUGGGAGUUGUGGGUGGAGGAGAAAAAGAUGAUUCAAGGCUUCAGCCUUGGGCAUUCGCGUAGAACUUUGUGCCAUGAAUUAAAAUCUGAAGUACAUGAAUGGGAGUAGAUGAUUGGGGACAUUACAAGUUCUUUUUUGCCCAUGAGAAACUAGCUCAAGAGUUCCAGAGUUGCACAGCCUUCUGAUUUUGAUGGAUGAACAUGCCACACUCCACUCCCACUUCUGUCCCAUUUUUCCACCAGCUUUCACCCAAGAGCAAACUGGAAAACAGGCAAACAGAAAUGUUCUUUCUAUCUAAAUAAUUCAUUCACCUGGUAGCUAAGAGGACACCUGCAUUCCAAGUCUCCCACGCUGUAGGAAGCAGCUUUGCACACUUGCCACUACACAGAGCUCCUUCCCUGCACCAUCUUCCCACCCCCACUGCAGGCAGGAGGGAUUGAUUCUAACAGGAAAGGAAGGAGGAGUGUGCUCUCUGCCCUCAUGUUAGAGAGGUCAGGAAAUGCAUCCAUGAAUAUAAGGAGCAAUCCUUCUGGAGCCUGUUUCCUUUAGAGCAGUAAGCAGCAUGAAGCAAAGAUUCUCUAAAUUCAAGAAAAAAAAAUCUUAGGAAGAAGUUCUCCUUCCCAGGGUUUUAGGAACUAUGCUGCAAAGAAAUAAUCCCCCCUACUGUGCCUUGAUGCUGGGGGAGUCACUUUCCCCCUCACUCCUGUGGAGGCUUUGACUUAAAUAGGCUUCUUUAAGGCCUAAACCAAGGCCCAGGAAAUAAGAAUGUAAGUGGAGAAUUAUACAUUGCUGACUCUUUCUCUGGAGAUCAAGGUCUCAACAUGGUUCAUGCUAAUUUGUGCUCAUCUGUAGUGGAUGUAUCUCCUCACUUGCAGACAUCUCCUUAUCCAUACUGACAUCAAACAAAUGGCAAAUAAUAGUACUUAGGAUCAAGGAGAAAGUGAAUUUAAUUUUAUAAAUUUUAUAAAAAAUAAUUCUUUGAGUUAGGCACCAUGUGCACAUCUGUAAUCCCUGUAGGAGGGUCACAGGUUCAAAGCCAGCCUCAGCAACUUGGUGAGGCCAUAAGCAACUUAGAACCUGUCUCAAAAUAGAACAUAAAAAUGGACUGAGAUGUGGCUCAGUGGUACUAAAAAAAUAUAAAUAAUGAUUAUACUUUGUAAAUAGUAAUGGAUGAUCUUUCUCCCAUCUCCUGUCACACAAUGGAGGACUGUACCCCAUCCUAUCCCAUUCAGGCAGCCAUGUCAUUCAACACUCAUUUUGGGGAGGAAAGAGAUGUAAUAGCAGAAAGCAAUAGGGAGGAGA